UACGAAGGGGGCUAGCGUUGUUCGGAAUCACUGGGCGUAAAGGGCGCGUAGGCGGCCGAUCAAGUCGGGGGUGAAAGCCUGUGGCUCAACCACAGAAUGGCCUUCGAUACUGGUUGGCUCGAGACCGGAAGAGGUGAGUGGAACUGCGAGUGUAGAGGUGAAAUUCGUAGGUAUUCGCAAGAACACCAGUGGCGAAGGCGGCUCACUGGUCCGGUUCUGACGCUGAGGCGCGAAAGCGUGGGGAGCAAACAGG
rnacentral:rRNA from 1 species